UUCAGGACAUUAAGGAGCAGACCAUGUGCCCUGUGUGCUUGGAUCGCCUGAAGAACAUGAUUUUCCUCUGUGGCCAUGGAACAUGCCAGCUCUGUGGAGACCGGAUGAGUGAAUGCCCAAUUUGUCGCAAGGCAAUUGAACGAAGGAUUCUUUUGUACUGAUUAAGAAACACAGAGUGUUUUGUUAGCUAAAGUAUGUGAUUGUGAGAUCUUAGUAUGUUCUAAAACUAGUUGGGAGUUAAUCUAAUGAGUUAAUUUGUAAUUUCAUAAUUUCUUUUUUUAUUUUAUUUUAUUUUUUUUAGACUGUAAUUAGACUAUAUAUGGACCACCAUCACAACGAAAACAUACAGUGUUUGAACUUGCCCGUGUGUGUGUGUGUGUGUGUGUGUGUGUGUGUGUGUGUGUGUGUGUGUGUUUUCCUCUUGAAUUUGGAACAUCAAAUCCAUGAAAACUCAUAGAAAAUUUGCUUUUGGCUUUGAAGGGGAAAAUCCUUUAAGGACUGCCUUUCACAUUUUUCUUUUUUAAUAUGUGCAUAUAUGUUAAACCUUAGACAUUAGCUUACAAGGUCAGUAUUCCACAUGAUUAUCAUGAUUUCACAUGGUGAAAUGACAUGCUGUUCUAAAAGGUCAUAUUGAAGGUGAGUGGGGCAAGUCAGACUAUGUCAUUUAUGCUCAGUGACAGAAGUGUAGUAGAGAUAUGCCUCCUGGCUAAGGCAGUACUGAAGGAAACAUUGUAUUUCAAGAUAAUUUAAAGUUAUCCAAAUGAUUGUUUCCGCAUUUUUAAGUAAGUGAAAAUAUGUGGUAAGAGAAUAAUGACUUAACCUUCUUUUCUAGACUUAAAAGGAAAAUUGACUAACUUAAAUAAAUGAAUUAUUUCAAAAUCACCAGUAGACAUGAAAGGGCAAAUUGUAGUAAGAACUGAAGGCUAGCUCGGAAUGACACAAUCACACCUCUACCUGGUUUUCACUGUUGGACUUCUUGUAUUAACUUCUCACUGUUUGCAUCAGCUCUUUGUAGAAAAAGAUCUGUGAAAAGCAAUUUCCGUUUUCCCUGUGACUGCUGACCUGGGCUUGAUCUAAUCAGUGCGUGCACACCGUCCUUUCUGUGUCUCUGAGGUCUCUAAGCUGGGUGGUGCAUUGUAAGAGGCAGCAAUCUUUUCUGUAUGUCUGUUAUUUCUGACAGUGUUACGGAUUCUACCUUCAUCCAGAGCCUUACUUCUUUUCUCUCUGAUAGUAAUUUUACUAUAAAGAACUUAGUUUUUCUUUAUACCUACAGAUGAACAUUCUUUAAACUGCCAACAUAUACUAAGAUACAAUAAAUAGCUUAAUGUCAGAUACUUAGAAAAGGAUGCUGGGGCAUUUGUGGAAAAGCAUGGAAAACACAUGUUGACUUGGUUAGGGGGCUAAGCAUUUUGUCUCCUUAAAUGAGUAAUCUUUGUAUCUAGCCUAAAUGUAUGCACAUUGUUUCAAGAUUCUUCACUGCUAGAUUGUUAAAAACAAAAACAAAAACCCACCUAUCAGUUAUUUACAAUAGUGUCCACUGUGCGCUGUGUAUAAGCAUGCACUCUUAAGGAUAGUGUUCUUUGAGGAUAGUUUCCCCUGCAUUUGAAUCUGGCUAGCUUGUGUCUGUUUUUUUGCUAUAGCAACUUAAAGUGGGAGAGCAGUGUCCAGCCUGCUGUGCUGUGCUGUGCUGUGCUGUGCUGUGCUGUGCUGCUGCUGGUUACUUGCGGCCCAGUGAGCUGAGCUGCUCGUUGUCAGCAGGCUCAGCAGUCCCAUGUCUGUGUUGAGCUGAGUAACUGCUUUGUUUCUCUUUCGUGUUUUUGAGAUAGAGUCUCACUAUGUAUUCUAAGCUGACAUGGAACCUACUGUGUAGCUCAGGCUAGCCUCAACCUUAUGAUCUUCCUGCCUCUGCCUUCCAAUUGUGGGGUUGUAGGAUGGCGAUCCCACAUAUUUAACAACUUUAAAUUAUUUUGGAGGGUACAAUCCUUAUUAGUUUCAAAUUAGGAAUGUUCUAUUGUAAGGAAGCAAUGAGGCUAUUUUUUUCUAAGUAUAAUUUGAAGAGUUUUUUUGUUUUUUUAAAGAUACAUCUGAUGAUACGAUGUUUACAUAAAGAGACAAACUAUCUUCUUGCAGACUUGGAAAGAGUAGAAAUGAGGAUCUUUUCUUCCUUGCCAUAGGCUGCCCACCUCUUUCUACUUGUCAUCAGGCAAGGAGGGGUGGCUGCUAUACAGUCUGCCAGCCCGAGAACCUGUGUGCCACAGCUGUAUCCCACUUCACUCCUUUCUCUGUCUCCCAGGCUGCAGUGCCAAGUCUUAUCCUGUAAAGAUUCUAUCUGUUAAGGGAUAGACCUCCUGACAGCUUCAUCAUCUCCACGCAGAGCAGAGCACACUAGCUUAGGAGAGAGAAGCCGUCAAGUCUCUGUAGUGCUGGGGACUUACAGCUUUCUCUUUGUCACUGGGCCAUUUAUGUUAUGUAUAGUAUGGACAGCUGCACUUCUCUUCAGGUCUUCAGGCAUCUAAAAUUAUUGUAAAUUUGUUUUGGGCUUACAGGAGAUGGUAAGACCAGGAACUGAAUCAUGCCAGUGACUUCCUCCUGCACUCUGAAACUACCUCUUAGUCUCUUUACAACACUUGGCCCUUUGGGGAUCUUUCCUUCUAGUUACCCAAACCUCUCUUUCCUGUGCCUCAGAAGAAUUCUUACUUUUCCUUAGAAUUAUUAUUACAAUGACAUGCAUUCGUUUGUUUUUUUUUAAAGUAUUGGACUUGGGCUAAGUGGGGGGCAGGAAAGAAGGUCAGUGUCUUGUGUCUGUGGACAACAGGAUAGGGUCCUGAGGCAUGUUAGCAUUCCUCACUGGUGUUUCAGGAGAGCUGUCGGGAGCAAUAUUAGAUUCCCUCUCUAUGCCCCUCGGCCCACCACAUUUUCUCCUUUAUUCACGAAGACCGUCGGCUUUCUCACUGAGCACAGACAUAACUUAUCAGGCGCUGCUGCCACAGCUGCUCUUGUUCACAUAGUUUAACAUCCUUACCUGUGCUGUACACAUGCAGAAUUUUAUUGGGAGUGGGGUUUUCAAGAGAAUAUAAUUUUAUAUUAGUGUAAGAAUAUUAUACUAGGCAAAUGUUUAGUUAUCUGAAUUACGCUUAAGGUAUUGUAAUUUAAUAAUGGCAGGUUAACCAGAAGUCUACUGAAACGUAAAAUUAACUGGAAAUAAUUCCUUAAAUUUUAUAUUUUUGAAGACUUUAGCCUGAAACAACCUUUUACUUUAGAAUGUUGAAAAUGCAUGCUGCUUAAGAUUUGUCUAGUUCAAAAUUCAAACCUUGCUGGGUCAUUUUUACACAGGGAACAUCCUGGUAGCCAUGUAUUGCCUGGUGGAUGUUUUUUGUUUAUUUUGAAUUCUGGACACUUUUGGGAUAAAGAAUAGUUAAACUUGCCACCUAGGACAAAGCUGGAUGUAGCAGAGCUGGUUUGGGGGUUUGGGGUUGC
rnacentral:lncRNA from 1 species